rnacentral:rRNA from 1 species
UACGGAGGAUGCGAGCGUUAUCCGGAUUUAUUGGGUUUAAAGGGUGCGUAGGCGGGAUGCCAAGUCAGCGGUAAAAAUGCGGUGCUCAACGCCGUCGAGCCGUUGAAACUGGCGUUCUUGAGUGGGCGAGAAGUAUGCGGAAUGCGUGGUGUAGCGGUGAAAUGCAUAGAUAUCACGCAGAACUCCGAUUGCGAAGGCAGCAUACCGGCGCCCUACUGACGCUGAAGCACGAAAGCGUGGGGAUCGAACAGG